rnacentral:rRNA from 1 species
AGAGUUUGAUUAUGGCUCAGAACGAACGCUGGCGGCAGGCCUAACACAUGCAAGUCGAACGCCCCGCAAGGGGAGUGGCAGACGGGUGAGUAACGCGUGGGAACCUUCCUUAUGGUGCGGAAUAACUCGCCGAAAGGCGUGCUAAUACCGCAUAAGCCCGCAAGGGGAAAGAUUUAUCGCCAUAAGAUGGGCCCGCGUAGGAUUAGCUAGUUGGCGGGGUAACGGCCCACCAAGGCUACGAUCCUUAGCUGGUUUGAGAGAAUGACCAGCCACACUGGGACUGAGACACGGCCCAGACUCCUACGGGAGGCAGCAGUGGGGAAUCUUGGACAAUGGGCGCAAGCCUGAUCCAGCCAUGCCGCGUGAGUGACGAAGGCCUUCGGGUUGUAAAACUCUUUUGGCGGGGACGAUAAUGACGGUACCCGCAGAAUAAGCCCCGGCUAACUUCGUGCCAGCAGCCGCGGUAAU